GUUCAAUCCUCCCACCUUCACAUCAUUCUUUUGCUCCGAAACGGUUUCAAUUGGAGGAACUAAAACUUCUACAGAAAUAACCGAGUUAUCUGGUACUAAUGCAGGUUCCACUUUUUCUUCAGCUGGUACAGAAUUGUUGUUUAGGUGGCCUUACUUUUGCAAUGUUCAAAAACGUUGGAAAACCUUGUUCAUCGAAUCCACCAGAAUAAUUUUUAGGAAGAUUUUCUGUUGGCCAAGGAUCUACGUAAUUUGGAUCUCGACAACACUUGCCGAUUAUUCCAUUGUCAGGAUUUUUGCAAGACUGUAAUAUGAAAAUAAUUAUUCGAGAGACAGGCUCUGUACUGAUUGUACCACCUGCGGUGCAAUAUUGUUCUUCGACACAAAGGAGAGCUGCCGCGCAACCAAACUGUACGUGGGUUGCGUUUGCAAGAAAGUCUAAAGUUCAGAGCGAACAUCCCUGGGACGUACAGAAUUUAGGUCCCAUGGACGUUCACAGGACGUUCCGGCCGGACGUUUGGACGUAAACUGGACAUAAAAUGGACGUCCGGUGCUAUCUGGGUAGAAGAAAAGUUUACUUAACUUUAUUAUGUACACAAACAAAUAGAUACAUACUAUAUGUAUAUAUCUUCCUGUAUUAUUAUUUUUGAACUUUAUUGUGAAAAAACAAUAACAAUUUUAAUUUUUUUUUAGUUGUAUUUUUUUAAAGUAGAUACUAAAUAAAGUGAAUAAAAAAGAAUAAAAGAAUCAAUCAAUCAAACCAAAUUUCAGAGAAGAAAGUAUUCUUUUAUUCGAACAUCAUUUCUGGAAUGAAAAAAUGAAUGGACCUGGAAGGAAGAGAUGAAAUUCGGGUUGCGGGAAUUAAUUUUUCGUUACUAAUGGAUUAUUAAAAAAGAGAAACAUGCCGUUUCCACUGAAACUACUUUCAUGUUCGCGGUAUGAUAUAUUAAUAUAUUAGAGAGAUAUUUCCCUAUUCCAGGUCACGUAUUUGGCUUAUUAAAAGCAAUUUCCCCGUAUCAGAAUAAGCAAUGAUUAAAUUGUAUACUUCCUAAAUGCAAAUUAAUUACGUAUUGCACUUAACACAUUACUACUAAAUAGAAAAUUUUAAUAAUUUAAUAAUUUUGAAAAAAUUCCAGUAAAUAAAUUUCAGUGGGUGGAUCAUCCAUGAGAUAUAAGUACAAUGGCAUCAAUCUGUUACACUAGGAUGAUAAUAAUUAAGAGAAUGUUCUUGUUACAGUUUUAUCCAAAGUUACUUGUAACACUGCUUAUGUGCAAUGCAUUGUUUUAAUUUCAAUUGAGUACUAUAUCUUAAAUCUUUCAUUCCCAGGGUGAUACAAAACGUGUUUUCAUAAAGCUAUUGUUGAAUGUUCCAGAUUUUUAUAACGUAGGCACAAAGAGUGUGCAGUAAAGUAACAGCAAAUAAACAGAAUUGUUACUAAUUCAAUAAAAAUUACUCUAUUAAACAUAUUCUUGCGAAUACCGUAACGGAAUUCUGUUUUACUAGUUCCUACUAUUUGAAAACGUUAAAGGGGUUGACUUGCUUUAACUAUUCAUAUUGCAGAAUUUGUUUUUUAAAGAAAUACUCUACCGAUAGCAGAAAAUACUACAUUUGAAAUAAAGGCUUUUCUAAAAGAAGUUUUAAGAUUCUGAUUUUAAUUAAACAAAUAGUGCGUAAUAUAUCAGAUUUGUUUCUUUUAAAUGAAAGUAUACACGAUUAAAUUUAAUGGUAUAAAAUGAUGUUUAAGUGUUAAACUAAACUCUAUUAAAAAAAAAAUCCUAGUGGCCCUUCUGGAAAUCCCUUUAUAAGCCAAGGUAGCCGUGCAACGAACAAUAUUUGUAAAUUUAAAGAAAGCGUUUUGUACAAGAAUAUUGGCUGAUGGGCGAAACGAUGAGAAGCAAUCAUUGUAAUUUAUGGAAAAAAAAGACCGAUCACCCAGAAAUAGCGGCCGACCGCAUCAUCAUAAUCGAAAGAGAAAGGGAAUAUAGACGUACGCAUAUACAUGCUUUUUACUUUUCUAAUGUCCUAAAUUCCUAGAAUGAUAUUUUGGAGUCCACGUCAUUCUUUCUCGACCUCGAGUAUGUUUCACUCCGCCUCUUUGCCGCCUUCUCUCGUUUAACAUCUGCCCCCCUUGUUUUCUCGUCCAUGUUAUUAGUAAUUACUAUUUAUAAUAAGACUUUCGAGAAGUAGUUGUAUCGAGUUUUGUAAAUUAAUUUUGUGAUUUUAUUUUCAUUUUUUAGUCGAUCUCUAACAAAUACUAUCUUUUUUCUAUUUUGUUAAACAUUACAUUACUUUUAUUCUGUUCUUUAUCAAUCGUCAGUCAAAAAUUGAUCGAUUUCAUCAUAUCAAUUAAUUUUUAAAUGUUGCACUCAAAGUUGAUAGAUUGAUGGAAUUUGUAUUCAUUUGUUCUACUGUCCAAACAAUUUUUUAUUAUUAUCACGUUUGUAUUUACAUUUGCCCAUUUAGCUUAAUUGGGUAUA